rnacentral:lncRNA from 1 species
ACCUGACAUAGUUCUUCGUUUCUGAAUAAAAAUAUAAACUUUUCGUCAAUAGACAAGUUAUAAAAUUGAUCGUUAUGUUUUACAGCUUCACUAUACAAUAUAUUUCGAAGGUCUGCAUAUAAAGGACAUAAAGUAAAUACAUGUUUUUCGUCUUCAAUUUCAUUUUUACACAUAAAACAACAUCUUUCAUUUAUUGGUUUAUUCUCAUAACGUCCUGUUUCUAUUUUAAGUGGCGCAACACCACAUCUAAAUUUUGCAUAAGCACUUCUAAAUUUAAUAGACAUAUUUUGUUUUAAAUAUAACUCUGUACAAUAUUGAGAUUUAUAUAGCUUAUAAGUACGAAGCUUGUUACCAUUACUCUGUGACAAAAUUUUUGUUUGCCAUUCUACAAUAUAUUUA